rnacentral:rRNA from 1 species
UACGUAGGGACCAAGCGUUGUUCGGAUUUACUGGGCGUAAAGGGCGCGUAGGCGGCAUGACAAGUCACUUGUGAAAUCUCCGGGCUUAACUCGGAACGGCCAAGUGAUACUGCAGUGCUAGAGUGCAGAAGGGGCAAUCGGAAUUCUUGGUGUAGCGGUGAAAUGCGUAGAUAUCAAGAGGAACACCUGAGGUGAAGACGGGUUGCUAGGCUGACACUGACGCUGAGGCGCGAAAGCCAGGGGAGCAAACGGG